AUCGGGGUGCACACAUCAUCGAGGAGAUUCAGGUCUUCACACAACCUCAGCUGGUCAAAAACAUCAUCCUCUCCCCGUCCAAGGGACCGCAUCCUUCGAAGGCUGCAUUUGAAGACCGAAUACGUCACAGUCGGUGCGACUAGGCUGUCCCAUUUCGAAGGCUCCUUCAAGUGCGGCCGACAAAUGCAACCUUCUUUUCGUCCUUUUGGAGGAUCCAACAGCUGGAUCCUUCGCAGCCCCAGGUGUCCCGACAUUCAUUGCACGUCGGCUGUGGCUGUGGAGUUGAGCCCCCCGGAUUUUACCUAUAAAUGGAGCAAGGAGCAAACUGUCCUCUUUAUUAAAAUGAGGGGGGAGAGCGACCACCUCUUCACCGGGGCAAAAUUUUCUGCCAACAUGGCUUGGAGGUAAUUAAAGUAUCAAUAGCCCUUUUGUAAUAUCUGCAUUUAAUCAUCGUGUACUUAAAAUUACAGUUAAAUGAACCGCCAUCAAAUUCAAAGCCUUUAACAAUAAGACAACCAGUAAAUGGGGCAGCCCUUUGUUGUGUCUUCACACAAUUACCAUGAACUGCAAUUUCCCCACUGUGGGACAAAUAAUGUUUUUUCUUAUCUUAUCUUUCUUAUUUCUUU